rnacentral:rRNA from 1 species
AGUGAACGCUGGCGGUAUGCCUAACACAUGCAAGUCGAACGGCAGCACAGUAAGAUCUCGCUCUUGCGGUUGGCGAGUGGCGGACGGGUGAGAAAUACAUAGGAAUCUACUUUUUCGUGGGGGACAACGUAGGGAAACUUACGCUAAUACCGCAUACGACCUACGGGUGAAAGCAGGAGAUCUUCGGACCUUGCGCGUUUGUAUGAGCCGGUGUCGGAUUAGCUAGUUGGCGGGGUAAAGGCCCACCAAGGCAACGAUCCGUAGCUGGUCUGAGAGGAUGAUCAGCCACACUGGAACUGAGACACGGUCCAGACUCCUACGGGAGGCAGCAGUGGGGAAUAUUGGACAAUGGGCGCAAGCCUGAUCCAGCAAUGCCGCGUGGGUGAAGAAGGCCUUCGGGUUGUAAAGCCCUUUUGUUGGGAAAGAAAAGAUGCAGAUUAAUACGCCGCUGUUCUGACGGUACCCAAAGAAUAAGCACCGGCUAACUUCGUG